AGCGAACGCUGGCGGCAGGCUUAACACAUGCAAGUCGAACGGGCAUCUUCGGAUGUCAGUGGCAGACGGGUGGGUAACACGGGGGAACGUACCCUUCGGUUCGGAAUAACUCAGGGAAACUUGAGCUAAUACCGGAUACGCCCUUUUGGGGAAAGGUUUACUGCCGAAGGAUCGGCCCGCGUCUGAUUAGCUUGUUGGUGGGGUAACGGCCUACCAAGGCGACGAUCAGUAGCGGGUCUGAGAGGAUGAUCAGCCACACUGGGACUGAGACACGGCCCAGACUCCUACGGGAGGCAGCAGUGGGGAAUAUUGGACAAUGGGCGCAAGCCUGAUCCAGCCAUGCCGCGUGAGUGAUGAAGGCCUUAGGGUUGUAAAGCUCUUUUGUCCGGGACGAUAAUGACGGUACCGGAAGAAUAAGCCCCGGCUAACUUCGUG
rnacentral:rRNA from 1 species